rfam:Nippostrongylus brasiliensis genome assembly, scaffold: NBR_scaffold0002064
ACAUCGGUAGUACAAUGAUCAGUGUAGUCUGCCGAAAACACAAAUACGCGGGUUCAAAUCCCGUCCGAUGUC